GACGAACGCUGGCGGCGUGCCUAAUACAUGCAAGUCGAGCGCAGGAAACUGACGGAACUCUUCGGAGGGAAGGCAGUGGAAUGAGCGGCGGACGGGUGAGUAACACGUAAGGAACCUGCCUCAAGGAUUGGGAUAACUCCGAGAAAUCGGAGCUAAUACCGGAUAGUUCAACGGACCGCAUGGUCCGCUGAUGAAAGGCGCUCCGGCGUCACCUUGAGAUGGCCUUGCGGUGCAUUGGCGAGUUGGUGGGGUAACGGCCCACCAAGGCGACGAUGCAUAGCCGACCUGGGAGGGUGAUCGGCCACACUGGGACUGAGACACGGCCCAGACUCCUACGGGAGGCAGCAGUAGGGAAUCUUCCACAAUGGACGAAAGUCUGAUGGAGCAACGCCGCGUGAGUGAUGAAGGUUUUCGGAUCGUAAAACUCUGUUGUAAGGGAAGAACACGUACGAGAGGGAAUGCUCGUACCUUGACGGUACCUUACGAGAAAGCCACGGCUAACUACGUGCCAGCCGCCGCCGUAAAAC
rnacentral:rRNA from 1 species